rnacentral:rRNA from 1 species
GACGAACGCUGGCGGCGUGCUUAACACAUGCAAGUCGAACGGAAAGGCCCUGCUUUUGUGGGGUGCUCGAGUGGCGAACGGGUGAGUAACACGUGAGUAACCUGCCCUUGACUUUGGGAUAACUUCAGGAAACUGGGGCUAAUACCGGAGAGGAGCUCCUGCUGCAUGGUGGGGGUUGGAAAGUUUCGGCGGUGUGGAAUGGACUCGCGGCUUAUCAGCUUGUUGGUGGGGUAGUGGCCUACCAAGGCUUUGACGGGUAGCCGGCCUGAGAGGGUGACCGGCCACAUUGGGACUGAGGUACGGCCCAGACUCCUACGGGAGGCAGCAGUGGGGAAUAUUGCACAAUGGGCGGAAGCCUGAUGCAGCAACGCCGCGUGCGGGAUGACGGCCUUCGGGUUGUAAACCGCUUUCGCCUGUGACGAAGCGUGAGUGACGGUAAUGGGUAAAGAAGCACCGGCUAACUACGUG